AAUCUGAUUAAAAGGAAAAAGGAAAAUUCCAGUUUCUGCAUCUCUUCGCCCCUUCCUUCUCCCCCUCGCCCCGCUCUCGCGUUCGAUCGAUCGUCUGUCGUGGGAUUUCGAGGUCCCACGUCGCUGUAUCCGAUGGUUUCGGUCGCACGAAUUGAUGGAUUCCGAUCUCUGGAUCUCUCGCCUCGGCGCCGCCAAACAGUCACUACUCAAUCCAGCACCGGAAAAACAUCCAACCGGGUUAUUCUCCGAUCAUACCUUCGUUUGUCCGCUUCUUUUCUUUUUGAUUUUGUUGGUCUUUGUUAUGGAAAUCGUGGGCAAUUGUGCGUUUGGUUGGGAAUCGCUCGUGUUUGAUGGGAAUCGAGUGUAGCCGUGCCGUUUGACGACUCGAAGAUUGGAUUUUGCCAGACCAGUGGAGCACGGAUUAGUUCGAACAGCUUUUGAGAACAUUUGGAUCUGUGGUAUCAUUUGGCAUUAUAUGUGAUGGAACUCUUAUUUCCCUAAUUUCUUAAGUUGAAGUUACUAGAACAGAUUGAAUGCUACAUGUUCAUCAUUCAUUUUGAACAGUUAUGAGCCUACUUUUGUAAAUCUGACUUCCUUGGUAGGGCAUUAUAUAAAAUUUGGGUCCUUUCAGGGUCAAAAUUUGCAUCAAAUAUGGAUGUUUUGUCAUCUUCACUCGUCCAUGAGGAACCCUAUCCUAGACAAAAUCUGUCCCAUAGUGCAUGAAGCCAAAAUGGAGGGUCCAUAGUGUAGCUCUGGUACCAUUUUAACAGCCUGAGUUGUUAGUAUAACUUGUAUGGAAUGGGCCUACUAACAUGGUCCAAAAGUAUUAGUUCUCUGUGACUAAAAUAAUUCACAGCUUUACGGAGGUCUAUUCUUUCUUCUUGUGCCUAUACUGCUCCUCAAGGAUUUUGGAUUACAUGGUACAAUGUACUUUAGAGGACACCAUUUUCUUGCUUGAUAUUUCUUGGAUUUUCUUUGGACAAAACAUCGAUUGUUGGCUUGAUGCCCUUUCAUCAGGCUGGUAUUGCAUAUUUCAUGACAAAGAAUUAAUCUCCGUCUCAAACUUUAAAGUGCCAAAAAAAGGGUGUGCCGUUGGAUGAUUAUUGUUUAUAAUUGAUCAAAACAGACUUGCCUGAUCUAAUUUGAUCAAAACAGACUAGCUUUGAGAAACAAGAAGGAUUACCACAAGAAAGGUGCAUGUUGACGUAUUAUCAUGUCUACAAGGUAGCUUUUAAGAGAAAAGGUAUAAGACAUUUGAAGGGAAAUUCAUAAUAGGAAAAUGACAGCUGGAGGAAUAAUUUGGUGAUGCUCUGGAAUGAAGCAAGUUGAGAUUAUAGAAGAAGUUGUAUGGAUUUCUAACAGGUGAUUAAAUGACAAUAAAGAGAAGGAACUCAAAUGUUGUACAUAUCAGUCAAAACUGUUUUGUUAUAUUAUUUUGACAUUAUUAUUGAUAUUUGUAUAAUGCAGUGAGCAGUCAGAUGUUGUCUUUUUGUGCUGACCAACAAUGGAGUUGAAGAUGUAUUGUCCUGUUCAUUCAAGUGAACCGUUGACUUGUCAAUUAUGCAAUAUACUCACCAUUUUGGUAGAUCAUUCUUGUUUCUUGAAACUGUAGUUUAUCUUUUACCUUUUGAAGUUGUUAAUUACUAAACAGUAGCUCAGCUAUGUUGUGUAUGCAGAUUUCUAUGAGAGCAUAAAAGGGAGAUUGAGAAAGAAGUCUUGUUUUUAUUACCACUUACUCAACGGUUACAAAUGCACUUGAAAUUGCGUGUGCCAAAACCAGCUAUCAAGGAUCCAUGGAGUGAUGCUGUGGGUCUGGUCCUCCCGGAAUCGUGCGUUUCGAUGCAUAUGCUGCUGUCGCCACCAUCUGCCCCCGGAUUGGCCCGAUUACGAAUGCAAACUCCCCAUUGGUUGCCAUCCAUCGGCUGAUCACUCGAGGUUCAGAAGUGUGCAUGGAGGAGACAACCAAUGUGAUGCAAAGACAAAGUCCCAGGAUCAGCCUCACCAUGUAUCCUCCUUGUCAGAACUCCUUUCACUACCAAGUAUCAAUAGUUGCUAAGGCCUCUGGCUUUAUAGAACACUCGAAGGAGUUCAGAUUUUAUAUACAGCAGCAAAAUGGAUGCUUGCUACUCGACAGUGCUUGUCUUCUGGCCUACCACUAUCAUUGGUUGGCAAUGAAGAAGGAUGCUGCAGCUCUUCUUCAAGGUGAUGACUAGCUGAGCUGCUGCCCCUCUCUAGAUGCAGCCAGUUCCUACUGUUGAGAUCUCAGGAACCAUCUGGACGUCAUUAUCAAUCACAUCAUUUUAGCCAGUACUGUUGCUUUCACCGGAGGAGGGGCAUCUAUCUUCCUUGGAGCACAUAGGGGUUCGUAGGAGUUCAUAGACAGGCUAGAGGAGUAAUCUGUCUCCGGCUCAGUCCAAAAUCAUGUUGCCACGGUGACUGGUUCUACUCGGCACAACAGAACAGGAUGAUUUGGCCCUACCAGUUUACUGCUAACUAGAAACAAAUGGAGUAGAUAAUGCAAGAAGUUUUCAUAUGUUCUUGAGGUCAGUGACCGAACAACUUGAACAAGAAAACAAAAUCUGCAGCCUCAACUACAUUUGCUCUUAGUGGCAGUGGUGUCCAUGGCGAAUGGUCAACCAUGAUGGUGGUGCCUACUCGUAAAGAGUACCUCAACACAGCAUGAUAAGGCUUUUACAGCGAAUUUGGUGACACCAUAUUGUAUGUUUAUUAUAUGUGGUGGAAGAUGAUCCCAGAAUAAGAUCUUGGAAAGGUGACGACUGUAGCAAGUUGUGGAUUCUGGUGCUGUUAAAGAUCUAAAGAGAGUAUGCAUAUCUCCAUAUCAAUCAGGCCAAAGAAAAGUGCUGAAUGGAAACAUCAGCUUCUGCACCCAGUGCUGAAAAAGGCCAUGAAGGAAAGAAAAGUGCUGAAUGAAUUCAUCGGCUUCUGCACCCAUUGUUGAAAGAGGCCAUGAAAGACCAAAUGAAGCCUUUUGCAAGAAGUCACAGCGUACAAAGUGUCUUUUUCAAUGGAACAGCGUGGAACUCCAUGAUUGACAGGUCUUCUACAAAGUCGUAUUGUCAAGCUUAAGAAGUGAAAGCUACCGAGGAGAAAUAAUCCUUCAGAUUUAAGAAAAAUAAUUUCUCGCCAAGUUUUAUGUCAAUCAGAUAUCUAGUCCUUCAGGCAUUGGAAAAUUUGAUGUACUUGUGUACGUAGAACACACUUCCUUGCCAAAAAAGAAGGGUUUGACAAUGAAAAUUGGCCAUCAAGUAAAAGGAUUUUUGUCAUUAUUUUGACAUUUAGAGACAA